AUACGUAGGUGGCAAGCGUUGUCCGGAAUUAUUGGGCGUAAAGCGCAUGUAGGCGGUGCCUUAAGUCUGUCGUGAAACUGCGGGGCCUAACCCCGUAUGGCGAUGGAAACUGUGGCACUUGAGUGCAGGAGAGGAAAGGGGAACUCCCAGUGUAGCGGUGAAAUGCGUAGAUAUUGGGAAGAACACCGGUGGCGAAGGCGCCUUUCUGGACUGUGUCUGACGCUGAGAUGCGAAAGCCAGGGUAGCGAACGGGAUUAGAUACCCCGGUAGUCCUGGCCGUAAACGAUGGGUACUAGGUGUGGGAGGUAUCGACCCCUUCCGUGCCGGAGUUAACGCAAUAAGUACCCCGCCUGGGGAGUACGGCCGCAAGGCUUAAACUUAAAGGAAUUGACGGGG
rnacentral:rRNA from 1 species